CUAUCGCUUACAGAUGGGCCCGCGGUGCAUUAGCUAGUUGGUAGGGUAAUGGCCUACCAAGGCAACGAUGCAUAGCCGACCUGAGAGGGUGAUCGGCCACACUGGGACUGAGACACGGCCCAGACUCCUACGGGAGGCAGCAGUAGGGAAUCUUCCGCAAUGGACGAAAGUCUGACGGAGCAACGCCGCGUGUAUGAAGAAGGUUUUCGGAUCGUAAAGUACUGUUGUUAGAGAAGAACAAGGAUAAGAGUAACUGCUUGUCCCUUGACGGUAUCUAACCAGAAAGCCACGGCUAACUACGUGCCAGCAGCCGCGGUAAUACGUAGGUGGCAAGCGUUGUCCGGAUUUAUUGGGCGUAAAGCGCGCGCAGGCGGUCUUUUAAGUCUGAUGUGAAAGCCCCCGGCUUAACCGGGGAGGGUCAUUGGAAACUGGAAGACUGGAGUGCAGAAGAGGAGAGUGGAAUUCCACGUGUAGCGGUGAAAUGCGUAGAUAUGUGGAGGAACACC
rnacentral:rRNA from 1 species